rnacentral:rRNA from 1 species
GACGAACGCUGGCGGCGUGCCUAACACAUGCAAGUCGAACGGACUGCGAGGAGCUUGCUCCUCAAAGUUAGUGGCGGACGGGUGAGUAACGCGUGAGUAACCUGCCUUACAGAGGGGGAUAACGUUUGGAAACGAACGCUAAUACCGCAUAAUGUAUCGGGAUCGCAUGGUUCUGAUACCAAAGAUUUUAUCGCUGUAAGAUGGACUCGCGUCUGAUUAGAUAGUUGGCGGGGUAACGGCCCACCAAGCCGACGAUCAGUAGCCGGUCUGAGAGGAUGAACGGCCACAUUGGGACUGAGAUACGGCCCAGACUCCUACGGGAGGCAGCAGUGGGGAAUAUUGCGCAAUGGGGGAAACCCUGACGCAGCAACGCCGCGUGAAGGAUGAAGGUUUUCGGAUCGUAAACUUAUGUCUUCGGGGACGAGAACGGGCGCUACCCGAGGAGGAAGCCACGGCUAACUACGUG